CACGAACGCUGGCGGCAGGCUUAACACAUGCAAGUCGAGCGCCCCGCAAGGGGAGCGGCAGACGGGUGAGUAACGCGUGGGAAUCUACCCAUCUCUACGGAAUAACGCAUGGAAACGUGUGCUAAUACCGUAUACGUUCUUCUGGAGAAAGAUUUAUCGGAGAUGGAUGAGCCGGCGUUGGAGUAGCUAGUGGGUGGGGUAAAGGCCUACCAAGGCAACGAUCCAUGGCUGGUGUGAGAGGAUGAUCAGCCACACUGGGACUGAGACACGGCCCAGACUCCUACGGGAGGCAGCAGUGGGGAAUAUUGGACAAUGGGCGCAAGCCUGAUCCAGCCAUGCCGCGUGAGUGAUGAAGGCCCUAGGGUUGUAAAGCUCUUUCACCGGUGAAGAUAAUGACGGUAACCGGAGAAGAAGCCCCGGCUAACUUCGUGCCAGCCGCCGCCGUAAAAC
rnacentral:rRNA from 1 species